rnacentral:rRNA from 1 species
GACGAACGCUGGCGGCGUGCUUGACACAUGCAAGUCGAACGGAAAGGCCCUGCUUUUGUGGUGUGCUCGAGUGGCUAACGUGUGAGUAACGCGUGAGUAACCUGCCCGUGACUUUGGGAUAACUUCAGGAAACUGGGGCUAAUGCCUGAUAUUAGCUCCUGCUGCAUGGUGGGGGUUGGAAAGUUUCGGCGGUUGGGGAUGUACUCGGGGCUUAGCAGCUUGUUGGUGGGGUAGUGGCUUACCAAGGCGUUGACGGGUGGCCGGCCUGAGAGGGUGACCGGCCACACUGGGAAUGAGAUAAGGCCCAGAGUCCUACGGGAGGAAGCAGUGGGGAAUAUUGCACAAUGGGAGGAAGCCUGAUGCAGGAACGCCGCGUGCGGGAUGACGGACUUCGGGUUGCAAACCGCUUUCGCCUGUGACGAAGCGUGAGUGACGGUAAUGGGUAAAGAAGCACCGGCUAACUACGUG